UACGUAGGGGGCUAGCGUUGUCCGGAUUUAUUGGGCGUAAAGGGCGUGUAGGCGGCCAGGUAGGUCUGCUGUGAAAACUCGAGGCUCAACCUCGAGACGUCGGCGGAAACCAUCUGGCUAGAGUCCGGAAGAGGAGAGUGGAAGUUCCUGGAUGUAGCGGUGAAAUGCGCAGAUAUCAGGAAGAACACCCGUGGCGGAAGGCAGCUCUCUGGGACGGUACUGACGCUGAGACGGCGAAAGCGUGGGGAGCGAACAGG
rnacentral:rRNA from 1 species